rnacentral:rRNA from 1 species
GCAGCAGUGGGGAAUAUUGCACAAUGGGGGAAACCCUGAUGCAGCAACGCCGCGUGAGUGAAGAAGUAUUUCGGUAUGUAAAGCUCUAUCAGCAGGGAAGAAAAAAGACGGUACCUGACUAAGAAGCCCCGGCUAACUACGUGCCAGCAGCCGCGGUAAUACGUAGGGGGCAAGCGUUAUCCGGAUUUACUGGGUGUAAAGGGAGCGUAGACGGCAUAGCAAGUCUGAAGUGAAAGCCCGUGGCUCAACCGCGGAACUGCCUUGGAAACUGUUAAGCUGGAGUACUGGAGAGGCAAGCGGAAUUCCUAGUGUAGCGGUGAAAUGCGUAGAUAUUAGGAGGAACACCAGUGGCGAAGGCGGCUUGCUGGACAGAGACUGACGUUGAGGCUCGAAAGCGUGGGGAGCAAACAGGAUUAGAUACCCUGGUAGUCCACGCGGUAAACGAUGAAUGCUAGGUGUUGGCGGGCAAAGCCCGUCG